UGGGGAAUAUUGCACAAUGGAGGGAACUCUGAUGCAGCGACGCCGCGUGAGUGAUGAAGGAAUUCGUUUCGUAAAACUCUGUUCUAUGGGAAGAAAAGGACUGUACCAUAGGAGAAAGUUCCGGCUAAAUACGUGCCAGCAGCCGCGGUAAUACGUAUGGAGCGAGCGUUGUCCGGAAUUAUUGGGCGUAAAGGGUGCGCAGGCGGCUUUACAAGUUGGAUGUGAAAUAUUGUGGCUCAACCACAAACGUGCAUCCAAAACUGCAAAGCUUGAGUUAAGGAGAGGUAAGUGGAAUUCCUGGUGUAGCGGUGGAAUGCGUAGAUAUCAGGAGGAAUACCGGUGGCGAAGGCGACUUACUGGACUUAAACUGACGCUCAGGCACGAAAGCGUGGGGAGCAAACAGG
rnacentral:rRNA from 1 species